GGGAGGAGAUGGUGGUCACAGACAGAGGGAAGUAAGCAUAGGCAGGAAACAGUUGUUUUACUAUUACUUUGUUUUACUAUUACUUAGGUGUGUGGGACUGUAAAAGGUAAGGCUCUUUUUUCCACACUGAACCAGAUGCUAAGAAGGUUAUUGUAACAGUAAGUUAUAACCACAGAAAUACUCUCAAGAGCCAUCAGUGAAGUCCAUAGUAAUCGAACGAUCAGAAUGAAGUCUAGAAUGCAGAUUCAUAGGAAAAGAGUGAACAUAAUAGGGCAGGCAUAUGAGAAGCUACUCCAAGGCAAAGAAAUUGUGCAAAUGAAUUAGGGAAAAUACAAUCAAGCCAAUUAACAACCCACAUGCUUAUCCUUUGUUCUAUAGCAGAAGGAAUGCUGUACUCCUCAAACUAAGCCUCUGGCACUUAACUGAUGGGAAUAUUCCGGUAAGGUAAGUGCCACUGAGGCAAAGAAGACGCUGGCUAAGGGAGCACAGAAGUUAUUACAACUGCCUUGGAUUUCAUUUUAUAUAUGUGUGUGUGUGUGUGUGUGUGUGUGUGUGUGUCUAUCAGAUGGCCAAUCCACAUAAACUAUAAUAAAAGCUGCCUCCUAUUCAUAAGUGACCACAGAAAAGUCACUGUAUAAGCAGUGGUCGCCAUGCACGGUCUUAUACCCUAUAAGACGGUAGGCAGAAGACAAAAACUGCUGUAAAUGUUAUCUGAAAAUAGAUAUUCUUAGCACCAUGGAGUUUAUGUAAUAAACAUUUAUAUAGCACUUACUUUUUUAAAAUAUAUUUUUAAAGAUUUUAUUUAUUUAUUUGAGAUAUGCAAAUAGCACACACGCGUGCACGCGCCCAAGAGAAAGAGAGAGAGAGAGAGAGCAAGCACUCAUGCCCAAGCAGGAGGAGUGGGAGAGGGAGAAGCAGACUCCCCUUGAGCAGGGAACCCAAUGUGGGACUGGAUUCCCAGGACCCCAGGAUCAUGAUCUGAGCCAAAGGCAGAUGCUUAACCUACUGAGCUACCCCAGGUGCCCCUAUAGCACUUACUUUUCAAGCACUGUUUUAAAAACUUUAAAAAUACUAAUUUGCUGAUCUUUUUUUAAGUAGGUGCCACACCCAACGUGGAGCCCAAUGCAGGGUUUGAACUCACAACUCUGAAAUCAAGACUUGAGCUGAGAUCGAGAGUUGGAUGCUUAACCGACGGAGCCACCCUUGUACCCUUAGCUUAUUGAUCUUUGUGGCUACCACAUGAGGUAGGUACUAUUACCUCCAUGAUACAGAUGAGUAAACUGAGGCAGAGAAAGGUUACUUAAAUUUUCCAAGUUCCAGGAGCCAGCCAAAGGUAGAUCCUGGAUGAGAACCCAAGCAGUUUGGCUCCAAAGCUCACAUGCUUCAUAAUUACACCAUUCCACCCUGAGUGUGACUAGGAGGAGAAUCUGAUAGUGUCCUCCUAGCAGCAGCCCAGGGAAGAUGCUCUAAUUCAAAGCAAAGGCCACCACCUACUGAGAGCUUUCCAUAUAGGCACCAAGAUAAACAUUCAUUCUCUUUCUUUCCCCAAACCCAGUACACAGGCUCUGUACAUAUGAAGAUUGCAAGUGAAACACCAAUGCAUGUUUGCUGCCUGUGGCAGCAGAUACCAUAUUUCAACCUCACCCUUAUGUCAGGCCUCUAGAAGUUGCCUUCCUCAGUUACAGAGGGUGGGAAACUCAGACAGCGUUCCCUGAAUCCUUUCAGCUACAGUACAAGCUUGUGACUGAAGUUUUUUUCAAACAGACACACCUUCACAAAAUGUGAGUGAGGGAAUGAAUGUGAUCUGGCACCCCAGAGUGGGGCUUCAGAUUUCCUGACAAGGCUGGAGGUGGUGAAGGUCCUUCUGAGGCAGCUGGAAUGGAGCGAGAAUGUUCUUAAUAGAAGCAGUGUCAGUGGGGUGGGCUCUUUCACCCUGGCUGUGUGCUUCUGAACUGCCAGGAUUCCUGAACUAUUGCUCCCAAGGUAGAUUCUCUGGGCCUUCCAGAAAUUCUGGGAGCUUUCUAACAUCCUUUAAUAAAAAUUCUUCCUGCUUAAAUUAUCUAUGGUGGAUUCUCCUGUUUGCAACUAAUUAGCUUUACUUAUAUAAUCUAAUACACACACAUAUGUGUGUGUAAUGCCUAGCACAUCAAAUCCCAAGAUCUCACAAAAAGCAUUAUUUUGCAUCAAGCUGGUGUUAAUAAAACAGAAAAAGUAAUUAAUUUUAAGAAAAUAUUUUAGGACCGGGGUGAAGCACAUAAAUUCUGGGGGCAAUCUGCUUGGGUUUCCACCCUGGAUCUACCAUCAACUGGCAACCUGAACUUGGAAAAUUUUAAUUGACUUCCAUAUGAAUGCCUGAAAUGGAAUGGAGGAAAGGCAUUCAUUCCUCACACUUCUCAGUAAUAAAAAGUAUCAUUUCCACAAUUCUCCGCGUAAAUACACUGACAUCUGACAGAGAGGUUUGGUCAUCUGCCCAAUGUCACCCACUAGGGAACACGAACCCAGGUCUGUCUCCCUUAAUGACAUGUAUCUGCAGGAUGAUGCUCCUCUAUAGCUACAGUCGCCAGAUACAACGGAUCACUUGUCAGUAGGGCUUACCGCUUCAUCACUAUGAGUUUGAUUAGUUUUCUGAGGAUGCUGAUAAUCACUGAGAAUACUGGCAAAAUAUGAGCUUCUGAACCUGCAGAAACUAGAACCAGCUCCUGGUGAGUAAUAGAGGUGAACCCACGAGGGCCUCAGAUUCCACUCUGGCACAGAAACCACUGGGAUUAUUUGAAAGGUUUCAACCCUGUGCAUGACC
rnacentral:lncRNA from 1 species